rnacentral:rRNA from 1 species
GAUGAACGCUGGCGGCGUGCCUAAUACAUGCAAGUCGAGCGAAUGGAUUAAGAGCUUGCUCUUAUGAAGUUAGCGGCGGACGGGUGAGUAACACGUGGGUAACCUGCCCAUAAGACUGGGAUAACUCCGGGAAACCGGGGCUAAUACCGGAUAACAUUUUGAACUGCAUGGUUCAAAAUUGAAAGGCGGCUUCGGCUGUCACUUAUGGAUGGACCCGCGUCGCAUUAGCUAGUUGGUGAGGUAACGGCUCACCAAGGCAACGAUGCGUAGCCUACCUGAGAGGGUGAUCGGCCACGCUGGGACUGAGACACGGCCCAGACGCCUACGGGAGGCAGCAGUAGGGAAUCUUCCGCAAUGGACGAAAGUCUGACGGAGCAACGCCGCGUGAGUGAUGAAGGCUUUCGGGUCGUAAAACUCUGUUGUUAGGGAAGAACAAGUGCUAGUUGAAUAAGCUGGCACCUUGACGGUACCUAACCAGAAAGCCACGGCUAACUACGUGCCAGCCGCCGCAGUAA